rnacentral:hammerhead_ribozyme from 1 species
AUACAGCUGAAGAGUCCCAAAUAGAACGAAAUGCGCAUCCUGGAU